rnacentral:rRNA from 1 species
GAGAAAGCUACUAAGGGUGCAUGGUGGAUGCCUUGGCAUCAAGAGCCGAAGAAGGACGUGGUAGGCUGCGAUAAGCUUCGGGAAGUUGUCUGCAAGCGUAUAAUCCGAAGAUUUCCGAAUGGGGAAACCCACCCAAGCUAAUCCUUGGGUAUCCUUGGCUGAACACAUAGGCCAAAGGAAGGGAACUGAGCGAACUGAAACAUCUAAGUAGCUCAAGGAAAAGAGAUCAUUCUGUUAGUAGUGGCGAGCGAACGCGGAAAAGCCCAAACCGUUAUGCAAAUAGUGUAGCGGGGUUGUAGGACCUAACGUUGAGUUACAAAAUUUCUUGUUAGCAGAAUUAUACUGGAAAGGUGAACGAUACAGGGUGACAGUCCCGUAUGCGAAAACGAGAAAACUCUAGUUAGAGUUCCUGAGUACCACGGGGCACGCUAAUCCUGUGGGAAACUGGGAGGUCCACCUCCCAAGGCUAAAUACUCUUGAUGACCGAUAGUGCACAAGUACCGUGAGGGAAAGGUGAAAAGAACCCCGUUUGAGGGGAGGUAAUAGAACCUGAAACCAUGCACUUACAACCAGUCGAAGCCCUAUGGCUGUAAAGCCAGGGUGACGGCGUGCCUUUUGGAGAAUGAGCCGACGAGUUACUUUCUGUAGCAAGGUUAAGCUAGACACAGGCGGAGCCGUAGCGAAAGCGAGUCUGAAUAGGGCGAGUAGUUGCAGGGAGUAGACACGAAACCGAGUGAGCUAACCAUGGCCAGGUUGAAGCGAGAGUAAUGUCUCGUGGAGGACCGAACGGGUAUACGUUACAAAGUGUUCCGAUGAGCUGUGGUUAGAGGUGAAAUGCCAAACGAACUCGGAGAUAGCUUGUUCUCCCCGAAAUAGCUUUAGGGCUAGCCUCAUGUGUUUAGUUGCGGAGGUAGAGCACUGGAUUGGCUAGGGGGCGUAUAGCUUACCAAACCAAACCAAACUCCGAAUGCCGUAACUUGAGAACAUGGGAGUCGGACAAUGUGAGAUGAGUUUCAUUGUCAAGAGGGAAACAACCCAGACCGCCAGCUAAGGUCCCGAAGUUGUAACUAAGUGGUAAAGGAUGUGGAACUACCGAGACAGCCAGGAGGUUGGCUUAGAAGCAGCCAUCCUUUAAAGAAUGCGUAAUAGCUCACUGGUCAAGUGGUUUUGCGCCGAAAAUGUAACGGGGCUAAAGUUACACACCGAAGCUGCGGAUUUCAUAGACUAUAUGUCAGUAAAGAGGCUUAGAGUAGAGGAGAAGUUGUAUCCUUAUGGAUAUGAUGAACUUCCUGCGACUAGGUUGAUGUGAUAAUAUAGUGUUAUGGAGUGGUAGGGGAGCGUUCUGUAGGAGACACAGUACUGACCGAGAGGACAGUUUUCGGCCUACAGAAGUGCGAAUGUCGGCAUGAGUAGCAGAAAGCAUGUGAGAAUCAUGUUCGCCGAAUGUCUAAGGUUUCCGACGGAAGGUUCGUCCGCGUCGGGUUAGUCGGGCCUAAGCCGAGGCUGAAAAGCGUAGGCGAUGGAUAGCAGUUUAAUAUUCCUGCACCACCUAUUUGGAGCGAUGAGGGGAAGCAGCAGGGCAAUACCAGCCAGAGAAUGGUAGAUCUGGUUCGAGACUCAUAGGGCGAUGAUCCUUGUAGGGAAGUCCGCAAGGUUAGCUUGAGGGGUUGUAGCGGAGCCGAAUGGCCGUAAGUGGUUAACCCCAUACUGUCGAGAAAAGCCUCUAAGUGUAGAAGAUUAGGUGUCCGUACCGCAAACCAACACAGGUAGACAGGUAGAGAAUACUAAGGCGAUCGGGAAAACCCUCGUUAAGGAACUAGGCAAAAUAGAUCCGUAACUUCGGGAGAAGGAUCGCCCCUUUAGGUGAAGGUUCAAGCAACCGGAGCUAGAGGGGGCCGCAGUUAAAUGACCCUGCCGACUGUUUAACAAAAUCACAGGUCUCUGCAAACUCGUAAGAGGAAGUAUAGGGGCUGACGCCUGCCCAGUGCCGGAAGGUUAAGAGGAGGGGUUCACGCUCUGAAUUGAAGCCCCGGUGAACGGCGGCCGUAACUAUAACGGUCCUAAGGUAGCGAAAUUCCUUGUCGGGUAAGUUCCGUCCCGCACGAAAGGCGUAACGAGUGGGGUACUGUCUCAACGAGGGACCCGGCGAAAUUGAACUAUGCGUAAAGAUGCGUAUUACCCGCAGAAGGACAAAAAGACCCCGUGGAGCUUUACUGUAACUUGGCAUUGAGUUAGGGCUUGGUUUGUGUAGGAUAGCUGGGAGGCAAAGAAACCGGUGCGCCAGUAUCGGUGGAGCCACUGUUGAAAUACCAGCCUGAUUAAGUCUUGGCCCUAACAAUUGUCCGUGAUCCGGCAAUUGAACAGUGUCAGGUGGGCAGUUUGACUGGGGCGGUCGCCUCCUAAAGAGUAGCGGAGGCGCCCAAAGGUUCCCUCAGGCUGAAUGGAAACCAGCCAAAGAGUGUAAAGGCAUAAGGGAGCUUGACUGCGAGACCAACAAGUCGAGCAGAGACGAAAGUCGGGCUUAGUGAUCCCACGGUACCGAGUGGAAGGGCCGUGGCUUACCGGAUAAAAGCUACCCCGGGGAUAACAGGCUAGUCUCUCCCAAGAGUUCACAUCGACGGGGAGGCUCGGCACCUCGAUGUCGGCUCGUCGCAUCCUGGGGCUGUAGUAGGUCCCAAGGGUUGGGCUGUUCGCCCAUUAAAGCGGCACGCGAGCUGGGUUCAGACCGUCGUGAGACAGGUCGGUCUCUAUCCUCUGUGGGCGUAGGUAAUUUGAGAGGGGUUGCCCCUAGUACGAGAGGACCGGGGUGAACUGACCGCUAGUGUACCAGUUGUUUCGCCAGAAGCAUUGCUGGGUAGCUAUGUCGGGGAAAGAUAACCGCUGAAAGCAUCUAAGUGGGAAACUUGCCUCAAGAUGAGAUUACCAACCGGAGCAAUCCGGGAGAGGUCACUGGAAGACUACCAGUUUGAUAGGUGGAGUGUGUAAGUGUGGCAACAUACUGAGCUAAUCCAUACUAAUGACCGAUAGCUUGCUUAU